GCUCAGAGAGGGGUCAAUGUCCUAUCAGCUAGUUGGUAGGGUAAAGGCCUACCAAGGCGAAGACGGGUAGCCGGCCUGAGAGGGUGGUCGGCCACAUUGGGACUGAGACACUGCCCAGACUCCUACGGGAGGCUGCAGUCGAGAAUCUUUCGCAAUGCCCGGAAGGGUGACGAAGCGACGCCGCGUGUGGGAAGAAGGCCUUCGGGUUGUAAACCACUGUCGGGAGUUAAGAAGUGUAAGGGGGUGAAUAGUCUCCUUACUUGACGUUAGCUCCGGAGGAAGCCACGGCUAACUCUGUGCCAGCAGCCGCGGUAAUACAGAGGUGGCAAGCGUUGUUCGGAAUUAUUGGGCGUAAAGAGCACGUAGGCGGCCCUGCAAGUCAGCUGUGAAAUCCUUCUGCUCAACGGAAGAACGGCAGUUGAUACUAUGGGGCUCGAGUGCGGGAGGG
rnacentral:rRNA from 1 species